UGAACUUUACAUUUCAUCUGUGGAUCCAUCUUCUGUUUCAUGUCAACUCUUCUCUCCUUCUUUCUACAUUUCUGCUCUUUUCUCUGACAUCUGUCAUUUCACAUCCUGCUGGUCCUCACUUGUCCUGUAGUUCCCUCAGUGUGUUCCCACCAUCUCCAGUCACCUGAUCCCUUCAUCCAGCAAGUAGAGGAAAUAGUUUGGGUGUUGAAGACGUCAGUUGAUGGAUUAUUAGUUGUCAGGUUUCUCAGCGUGUCAGAGUCGGAGCAGGAAGCUGCUGCAGGUUAAAUAUUAAAGAUAAUAAAGUCAUAUAAAGGUGCAGCAGCUGAUCUUUGAGCGGAGCUGCAGGUUCAGACUGGUUCAUAAGUGUUUCACUCUGACAGCAGCCUGCACACACAGAGGACUGGUGAAGGACAACAAGCAGAGGAUUUCAGCUCAUGGUUUUCUUCACAGACCUGGUCCAGACCCCAGAGAGAGUGAAGAAUCUGAGUAGAAAGUGUGUGUGAGCUGAUGUGGAUGUGAACUCAGCAGCAUGGAUCAGUGUGAGGACAGAGAGGAGGGAGCCCCUCCCUCUAAAACCACUCUGUGUGGGGAACAUGAGAGAAAGACCAGAGCUCAGAGGGUUAGAGACACACCACACUCUGCUGGACCUGGACCUGGACCUGGACCGGGACCGGGACCUGGACCUGGACCUGGACCUGGACCUGGACGUGGACGUGGACCUGGA